UUUUACACAUCCAUCAAAAUCCAAACUCUGGUUAGUAAAGAAUUUACGAAUGUUGUGAAAAUAAAGCUAUGCUGUCAUUAUGUAUGUGUGAAUAAUAUCUAGGAUAUGGGAUGUUUGAAACAUACAUCCUUAUUAAAUUAAAACUACAAAAGUUAUAAGUAACAAAAAAAAAAAAAGAUUUGUAAACAAACCAUUCAGGCAGUAUUUACCAGGUCAUUUCUCAGUUUGGCUCAGAUAAAUAUUUAUCUUAGUUAGCUGAGAAUCAGAUAUGAGGAAAUGACUUAUUGUAAGGUAUUUGUUGCUGCAAAAAGUCAUUUGCAAUUGACUUCUUGUUUGUGGGUUUAACCUCUAGUUCAUGCAGUUAAAUAACUUUGCUGAACACUCAUCAGGAGAUGUUGCUUUUCACUAAAAUGUUUCCUCCCAUUAAACAGUUAACAACCAGAAUCACCCUUUUGGGCUCAGUCCUUUUAUUGUAUGAUCGGUUCUGUGCAGUGCAUGAUCGAGUGAUCCAUGAAGUAAGUACAAUGGACAAGUUAACUGAGAAGGUGGAAGAGAAAAUCUUCAGACCACUGUAACUCAAGUUGUCCUGUGUUUCUUUCACAUUUAUGCUUGAUGAUGGUGUUCUUCCUUAGUAAUAUGCUUGAAAACCAGUUAAUGUCUACAGGAGCGUUUGAGAUCACGUUAAAUGGUGAGUCGGUGACUGACAGCAUGGUUUUUACUAACUAAACCCAAUUGUUUCAAAUUAUUUGGGCCAUUUUGCAUUGAUCAUUGAUUAGUACCUUGACUGCAGUUUUAACAGUUAAAUGUACUUGCAGUGCCAUUUCAUAUUAGAACUUUUAUGACUUAGAUGGCUUCAAACAUUGUUAGUCUUUUGUUAUAUUAUUUUGAACUAAUGCUAUGUUGAUGGAACAAAAUUCAGUGCAUUACAGUGAUGUGGUGUUUUUCCAUCGAUGUACCAGUGUGGUCAAAAAACUAGAAUCGGGUCACCUGCCCUCCAUGCAGCAGCUUGUGCAAAUCCUGGACGAGAUGAAGAUGAACAUUCACAUGAACACAAAACCCCUCCACUCCUAACCCUACUCUUCACAUCCUGGCUGGAGCUACAAGCCCCUCCAUGUUUGAGGUGGGUUUCUCUCUGGGCUGUGAUUUUAUGUUUAUGAAGGUCUGCGCUGAAGGCAGGAUAACUGCUAGCACAGACUGGAUGUCCCCAUCACUCUUCACCGUGCCCCUCAGAGACAACCUGCCCCUGACGCCAGAGAAGGAUCCAGAGAGUGCAGGCCAUUGUGUCAUUUUCUUGUAAUAUUCAUACUACUGCAGAAAUCAUCCAGGUGACAUCAGUGGUCCCAUAAUGAGAGAUUAGCCUUGAUUUGUAUAGUCUUUAACUUGUUGCAUAUAAUUAAAUGAUGUGGUUUAAAAAAAGCGAUGUCCCUUGUACCACUGAGCCAUAAGUAGGAUUUAAGUGUAUUGUUCUAAUAGUAACUUAGCUGUGUAGAAAAUGCAACACUUAAAUAUGCCGUCACUGUUAAAUUAACAACACAAUUGUGUCUUGGUAUGAUUUCCAAAUAAUUUUUAUAUUGACAUAAUUUGGAGGAAGCUAAGAAGAUGAAUAAAACAUGGAACUAUUUAACUGUG